rnacentral:lncRNA from 1 species
GCGGAAGUGGGAGGGAGAGGCAACACAAAAGAAAGGGAUGAACCCCCGUCCCCCUCCCCUGAAGGAGCCCCAAACAGAGCUGCGCCCAGAGGGAGGCAUGCAGAGGCGCUUUCAGAGGAAGUUCUUGCUGCUGCAGCGGGACAGAAGCAGCUGGGAUGGCUGACCAUCCUGAUAGGCCUUGGAGGCAGGCGGCAACGCUCUCCAUGUAUCACUCACCAGCCGUGCAGUCCUCACUCGCUUGCCCAGGAAGGGAAGUGUCACCAGCCUCAACUACUACUCCCCACCCCCUGCAACUGCCAUUCUUUCUGACUUGUCUCUAGAAAAGGCCAUGUGAGCUUUCCCUCAGGCUGACCCAUUGUCCCAGUCAGAAUGUCCAGCCAAAGCAGAAUAAAGCAUCU